rnacentral:rRNA from 1 species
AAAUUGAAGAGUUUGAUCAUGGCUCAGAUUGAACGCUGGCGGCAGGCCUAACACAUGCAAGUCGAGCGGAAACGAGUUAUCUGAACCUUCGGGGAAGGAUAGCGGCGUCGAGCGGCGGACGGGUGAGUAAUGCCUAGGAAAUUGCCCUGAUGUGGGGGAUAACCAUUGGAAACGAUGGCUAAUACCGCAUGAUGCCUACGGGCCAAAGAGGGGGACCUUCGGGCCUCUCGCGUCAGGAUAUGCCUAGGUGGGAUUAGCUAGUUGGUGAGGUAAGGGCUCACCAAGGCGACGAUCCCUAGCUGGUCUGAGAGGAUGAUCAGCCACACUGGAACUGAGACACGGUCCAGACUCCUACGGGAGGCAGCAGUGGGGAAUAUUGCACAAUGGGCGCAAGCCUGAUGCAGCCAUGCCGCGUGUGUGAAGAAGGCCUUCGGGUUGUAAAGCACUUUCAGUCGUGAGGAAGGUAGUGUAGUUAAUAGCUGCAUUAUUUGACGUUAGCGACAGAAGAAGCACCGGCUAACUCCGUGCCAGCAGCCGCGGGAAUACGGAGGGUGCGAGCGUUAAUCGGAAUUACUGGGCGUAAAGCGCAUGCAGGUGGUUUGUUAAGUCAGAUGUGAAAGCCCGGGGCUCAACCUCGGAAUUGCAUUUGAAACUGGCAGACUAGAGUACUGUAGAGGGGGUAGAAUUUCAGGUGUAGCGGUGAAAUGCGUAGAGAUCUGAAGGAAUACCGGUGGCGAAGGCGGCCCCCUGGACAGAUACUGACACUCAGAUGCGAAAGCGUGGGGAGCAAACAGGAUUAGAUACCCUGGUAGUCCACGCCGUAAACGAUGUCUACUUGGAGGUUGUGGCCUUGAGCCGUGGCUUUCGGAGCUAACGCGUUAAGUAGACCGCCUGGGGAGUACGGUCGCAAGAUUAAAACUCAAAUGAAUUGACGGGGGCCCGCACAAGCGGUGGAGCAUGUGGUUUAAUUCGAUGCAACGCGAAGAACCUUACCUACUCUUGACAUCCAGAGAACUUUCCAGAGAUGGAUUGGUGCCUUCGGGAACUCUGAGACAGGUGCUGCAUGGCUGUCGUCAGCUCGUGUUGUGAAAUGUUGGGUUAAGUCCCGCAACGAGCGCAACCCUUAUCCUUGUUUGCCAGCGAGUAAUGUCGGGAACUCCAGGGAGACUGCCGGUGAUAAACCGGAGGAAGGUGGGGACGACGUCAAGUCAUCAUGGCCCUUACGAGUAGGGCUACACACGUGCUACAAUGGCGCAUACAGAGGGCAGCCAACUUGCGAAAGUGAGCGAAUCCCAAAAAGUGCGUCGUAGUCCGGAUUGGAGUCUGCAACUCGACUCCAUGAAGUCGGAAUCGCUAGUAAUCGUGGAUCAGAAUACCACGGUGAAUACGUUCCCGGGCCUUGUACACACCGCCCGUCACACCAUGGGAGUGGGCUGCAAAAGAAGUAGGUAGUUUAACCUUCGGGGGGACGCUUACCACUUUGUGGUUCAUGACUGGGGUGAAGUCGUAACAAGGUAGCGCUAGGGGAACCUGGCGCUGGAUCACCUCCUUAAACGAUGAU